rnacentral:rRNA from 1 species
AAUGUGGAGCCGUAGCGAAAGCGAGUCUGAAUAGGGCGUUUAGUAUUUGGUCGUAGACCCGAAACCAGGUGAUCUACCCUUGGUCAGGUUGAAGUUCAGGUAACACUGAAUGGAGGACCGAACCGACUUACGUUGAAAAGUGAGCGGAUGAACUGAGGGUAGCGGAGAAAUUCCAAUCGAACCUGGAGAUAGCUGGUUCUCUCCGAAAUAGCUUUAGGGCUAGCCUCAAGUGAUGAUUAUUGGAGGUAGAGCACUGUUUGGACGAGGGGCCCCUCUCGGGUUACCGAAUUCAGACAAACUCCGAAUGCCAAUUAAUUUAACUUGGGAGUCAGAACAUGGGUGAUAAGGUCCGUGUUCGAAAGGGAAACAGCCCAGACCACCAGCUAAGGUCCCAAAAUAUAUGUUAAGUGGAAAAGGAUGUGGCGUUGCCCAGACAACUAGGAUGUUGGCUUAGAAGCAGCCAUCAUUUAAAGAGUGCGUAAUAGCUCACUAGUCGAGUGACACUGCGCCGAAAAUGUACCGGGGCUAAACAUAUUACCGAAGCUGUGGAUUGUCCUUUGGACAAUGGUAGGAGAGCGUUCUAAGGGCGUUGAAGCAUGAUCGUAAGGACAUGUGGAGCGCUUAGAAGUGAGAAUGCCGGUGUGAGUAGCGAAAGACGGGUGAGAAUCCCGUCCACCGAUUGACUAAGGUUUCCAGAGGAAGGCUCGUCCGCUCUGGGUUAGUCGGGUCCUAAGCUGAGGCCGACAGGCGUAGGCGAUGGAUAACAGGUUGAUAUUCCUGUACCACCUAUAAUCGUUUUAAUCGAUGGGGGGACGCAGUAGGAUAGGCGAAGCGUGCGAUUGGAUUGCACGUCUAAGCAGUAAGGCUGAGUAUUAGGCAAAUCCGGUACUCGUUAAGGCUGAGCUGUGAUGGGGAGAAGACAUUGUGUCUUCGAGUCGUUGAUUUCACACUGCCGAGAAAAGCCUCUAGAUAGAAAAUAGGUGCCCGUACCGCAAACCGACACAGGUAGUCAAGAUGAGAAUUCUAAGGUGAGCGAGCGAACUCUCGUUAAGGAACUCGGCAAAAUGACCCCGUAACUUCGGGAGAAGGGGUGCUCUUUAGGGUUAACGCCCAGAAGAGCCGCAGUGAAUAGGCCCAAGCGACUGUUUAUCAAAAACACAGGUCUCUGCUAAACCGUAAGGUGAUGUAUAGGGGCUGACGCCUGCCCGGUGCUGGAAGGUUAAGAGGAGUGGUUAGCUUCUGCGAAGCUACGAAUCGAAGCCCCAGUAAACGGCGGCCGUAACUAUAACGGUCCUAAGGUAGCGAAAUUCCUUGUCGGGUAAGUUCCGACCCGCACGAAAGGCGUAACGAUUUGGGCACUGUCUCAACGAGAGACUCGGUGAAAUCAUAGUACCUGUGAAGAUGCAGGUUACCCGCGACAGGACGGAAAGACCCCGUGGAGCUUUACUGUAGCCUGAUAUUGAAAUUCGGCACAGCUUGUACAGGAUAGGUAGGAGCCUUUGAAACGUGAGCGCUAGCUUACGUGGAGGCGCUGGUGGGAUACUACCCUAGCUGUGUUGGCUUUCUAACCCGCACCACUUAUCGUGGUGGGAGACAGUGUCAGGCGGGCAGUUUGACUGGGGCGGUCGCCUCCUAAAAGGUAACGGAGGCGCUCAAAGGUUCCCUCAGAAUGGUUGGAAAUCAUUCAUAGAGUGUAAAGGCAUAAGGGAGCUUGACUGCGAGACCUACAAGUCGAGCAGGGUCGAAAGACGGACUUAGUGAUCCGGUGGUUCCGCAUGGAAGGGCCAUCGCUCAACGGAUAAAAGCUACCCCGGGGAUAACAGGCUUAUCUCCCCCAAGAGUUCACAUCGACGGGGAGGUUUGGCACCUCGAUGUCGGCUCAUCGCAUCCUGGGGCUGUAGUCGGUCCCAAGGGUUGGGCUGUUCGCCCAUUAAAGCGGUACGCGAGCUGGGUUCAGAACGUCGUGAGACAGUUCGGUCCCUAUCCGUCGUGGGCGUAGGAAAUUUGAGAGGAGCUGUCCUUAGUACGAGAGGACCGGGAUGGACAUACCUCUGGUGUACCAGUUGUCGUGCCAACGGCAUAGCUGGGUAGCUAUGUGUGGACGGGAUAAGUGCUGAAAGCAUCUAAGCAUGAAGCCCCCCUCAAGAUGAGAUUUCCCAACUUCGGUUAUAAGAUCCCUCAAAGAUGAUGAGGUUAAUAGGUUCGAGGUGGAAGCAUGGUGACAUGUGGAGCUGACGAAUACUAAUCGAUCGAAGACUUAAUCAA